rnacentral:misc_RNA from 1 species
UUGACUCAAUGACAGACACCUCUUUAUGCUUUCUCAUCUGAGCUUAGACCUUCUAACCUAUUAUAAAUGUAAGUUUUUAAAAUAGAGAUGCUUCCCAUGUUAUUUAAAUGGAGUCACUUUUACUCCCUAGGGAGUUUUUCUGUUUUUUACUACCGAGAGCGAAAAAGUGACACUUUAGUAUUAUGUUUCAGGGAGUAAAGUAAGUACUUUAGCCAGUAGGUGGAGGAAAAAAUAAUUUCUGGAAACUCUUUUUAGAUAGUUGGAAAGAUAAAACGAACGUAGUUACGAUUUUUCCGCUAGGUCGCGCGCCUGUCGGUUCUUCAUACUUCCAUCAUUCAAAUCAGCCAUUGGCGCGUAUUUUGAAUGCAAAUUUGUUGUUUCUUAUUUGAUUUUCGUAAUAAUUUGUGUAAAAAAAUGGAUGUGGAUAGUGUUGAAUGUGAUUGUGGAAGUUAGACACAAUAGUAGGCAGCAGUGGUAGCUCAUAAAAUUGACUAAUAAUUGAAGAAAAACAAUAAACAUAGAAGAAAGAAGAAUAUUUGAAUUCCACUUUCACUCUCCAAAAAAGGUAAGUUAGGAAACCCUGUAAAUACUAGAUCUGAAGCAAAAUGAGUAAAACUAUAUUAUUUCAUACCUAUGUAGAGAGGAAUUAUUUUCUAACAUCAAUCACAUUAUUUUGUUAUUAUAGUCUUCAUUAUAGUACUAUUUUAUGAUUUUUUGUGAAUGAGAUAAAAUUAUUGACUCCUGGAUAACUCUGAAAUAUCACGUCUAUUGUCAUUUCCAUUAUCUUCUGAACAUUCCUGUGUGUAAUGAUUGCAAUACUCCAUUAUCAGCAAUUCAAGUGCCACAAUAUAACACUCAAAAAAAGUUGAUGAAUAAUUAUGAGACAUUUUUACCUAUAAUUACCUAUUUUUUAAAUUCAAUGGUAACUGUAGGAAAAAUUCAAUGUGAAAUACUUGAGCAAAGUUCCUUUGCUGCACUCAAGAAACCAUUAUUCCGCACUCGCCUAUGGCUCGUGCAUGAACGUUUCUUUGUUACUUUGCGCACUAGUUGCACAAAUAACUAUUUACAGCACAAAAGAGCACAAAUUGAGCACUAAAUCCCUAGAUAUGUUGAUUUAUUUGUGCUGUUUUGUUGAUUGAUUUGUGCCAUUGUGGUUGGUGCAAGUGUGAAGCCAGCCCUACCCACUUUAAAAGUCCAAUAUCUUCUUCAAAUUGAUAGCACAAAAUAAACUUUUUACACCACAAAACAGCACAAAUUGAGCACUAGAUCCCUAGAUAUGUUGAUUUAUUUGUGCUGUUCUGUGAAUUGAUUUGUGCCAUUGUGGGUGUUGCAAGCGUGAAGCCAGCCCUACCCACUUUAAACGUACAGCACAAAACAGCACAAAUUGAGCACUAAAUCCUUAGAUAUGUUGAUUUAUUUGUGCUGUUUUGUGAAUUGAUUUGUGCCAUUGUGGGUGGUGCAAGCAUGAAGCCAGCCCUACCCACUUUAAAAGUCCAAUAUCUUCUUUAAAAUGAUAGCAGAAAAUAAACUUUUUAGAGCACAAAUCAGCACAAAUUGAGCACUAAAUCCCUAGAUCUGUUGAUUUAUUUGUGCUGUUUUGUGAAUUGAUUUGUACCAUUUUGAGUGGUGCAAGCGUGAAGCCAGCCCGCCCACUUUCAAAGUAUCUUCUUUAAAUUGAUAGCACAAAUAAACAUUUUUGCAGCACAAAAAAGCACAAAUUGAGCACUAAGUCCUUAGAUAUGUUAAUAAUUUGUGCUGUUUUGUGAAUUGAUUUGUGCCCACUUCCAAAGUUGAAUAUCUUCUUAAAAUUGAUAGCACAAAUAAAACUUUUUGCAGCACAAAGCAGCACAAAUUGGGCACUAAAACGCCUAGAUAUGACAAUUAAUUAUUUGUGCCGUUCUGGGUGGUGCUAGCAAGAAGCCAGCCCUACCCACUUUCAAAGUCCAAUAUCUUCUUUAAAUCGACAGCACAAAAUAAACUUCUAACAGCACAAAACAGCAUAAAUUGAGCACUAAAUGUUCAGAUAUGCAAUUUGAUUUGUGCCGUUUUGGGUAGGGCCAGCUUCACGGGGGUCGUCUCAGCCACACAUACACACACUCAGGUUACAACCAAGAUUUAUCUAGUUACUCUUGCUAAAACUCAUUUCGAUUUUGACUUCUCAUAAUAAUAAUUAUAACCUUACUUUCUUCAUAGUAUAAACAUUACAAGAAAUAAACUCAACAGAAAACAUUUUUCUCUACUAUUUUCAAUUUUGACCCUCAAAUUGCUCAAAUUAUACAUCGUAUUUUUAUGUGUUUCCAUUUAAUCUUGUUGAAUAUGACUUAGAUUAACAAACAAAUCUACUCAAACUAGGCUCAAUCCAGUGUUUAUAGAUAAUAUGGAAGUUAUUUAUAUAAUUGGUAGCAUGAAAAUGAUUUAUAAUAAUCUGGAAGUGAACUACUAGCUUUAAAUGCGUUUUUGAACCAUAGCCAACUUAUUAUAACAUUGAAUAAAGUAUUCUAACCUCAUUUACAUUUACAACGGAUAAGUCAUCCAAUAAUUUCAAUUAGAAUAAUAUAAAGUCAUGCUAGCUAUUUUUCCUAUUCGUUAUUAAUUCUCAUAAAAUAUGCCUUUAAUUUCCUUUUAGCUUCACCUUCCCUCUCCAAUUUUCUUAAUUCUAUGGGGAGAGAGUUCAAUAAAUCGGGUAUUCUAUUAUGAGAUAAAGCAUAUGAGGACAGUGGGGAGCGCUAAUAUUGGCCAAUGUGUCAAUAAUAUCUUGAGAAGAUUAAUGAUUGAUGAGCUGGCCAUGAAAUUCUCAUAUACUGGCCGUGCAUCAAACGGGAACACAAAAACUCCAUUUCAUGGGAGUGAGAUAUCGAAAUGCAUACUGAUUGCUGUUCAAACGUUGUUUGGUGACAUUGCAACUGAAGUGAAAUAUGGAUCGUUGGCGUCAAAAUGGCUUCAACAAGCCAGAACAAGAGUGUUGAGAAGGACCAAAAGCAGAGAGACUAUGCCUCAUGAAGCUCAAAUCGAGGACGAUAGCAGUUCAAAGUAAAAAUAUAUAAUUAGUUAUAAAUUGAAAGUUCAAUUUUUGUAAUAAUUAAUAAAAAUCAUUGCAUUUUAUUGAAAA